rnacentral:rRNA from 1 species
GACGAACGCUGGCGGCGUGCUUAACACAUGCAAGUCGAACGGAAAGGCCCCUUUGGGGGUGCUCGAGUGGCGAACGGGUGGGUAACACGUGCGUAACCUGCCCUUGACUUCGGGAUAACUUCAGGCAACUGGGGCUAAUACCGGAUAGGAAUCCUUGCUGCAUGGUGGGGGUUGGAACGCUUCGGCGGUUUUGGAUGGACUCGCGGCUGAUCAGCUUGUUGGUGGGGAAGUGGCUUACCAAGGCGUUGACGGGUAGCCGGCCUGGGAGGGCGACCGGCCACAGUGGGACUGAGACACGGCCCAGACUCCUACGGGAGGCAGCAGUGGGGAAUAGUGCACAAGGGGCGGAAGCCUGAUGCAGCAACGCCGCGGGCGGGAUGACGGUCUUCGGGUUGGAAACCGCUUUCAGCAGGGGCGAAGCUUGUGGUGACGGUACCUGCAGAAGAAGCACCGGCUAACUACGUG